rnacentral:rRNA from 1 species
UUUAAAUGUAAAUUUUAAAUAAAAUUAGUAUUAGGUAUGUUCUUGAAAUUUAAAGAUUUUGGCGGUAUUUUAGUCUUUUCAGAGGAACCUGUUCUAUAAUCGAUAGUCCACGAUAAAUAUUACUUGUUUUAAUUAGUUUGUAUAUCAUCGUAGUUGAAUAUUUCAUGAGAAUAAAAAUAUUCAAAAUUUAUUAUAAUAAAUUAAAUCAGAUCAAGGUGCAAUUUAUAAACAAGAAGAAAUGGGUUACAAUAAAAUUAUUUAAAUGGAUAAGUUAAUGAAAAAAAUUUUGAAGGUGGAUUUGAAAGUAAUAAGAUUAAUUUAAAUUUUAUGAUUUUGGCUCUAAAAUAUGC